UAAGGCAGUAUUUGAUGUACAUUAGAUUUUGAUUCUAAUUGAAUAAAUAGAAGUUUAUUCUUAUAAUA
rnacentral:tRNA from 1 species